CCCUUAGAUGUCCUGGGCCGCACGCGCGUUACACUGAUGCAUUCAACGAGCUUAUAACCUUGGCCGAGAGGCCUGGGCAAUCUUGUUAACGUGCAUCGUGAUAGGGAUAGAUUAUUGAAAUUAUUAAUCUUGAACGAGGAAUUCCUAGUAAACGCAGAUCAUCAAUCUGCAUUGAUUACGUCCCUGCCCUUUGUACACACCGCCCGUCGCUACUACCGAUUGGAUGGCUUAGUGAGACCCUCGGACCGAUAGGCUGUCGCUGCAGCAAUGUGGCGACUGGCCCGUCUGGGAAGAAGGUCAAACUUGACUGUCUAGAGGAAGUAAAAGUCGUAACA
rnacentral:rRNA from 1 species